UACGUAGGGGGCAAGCGUUGUCCGGAUUUACUGGGUGUAAAGGGCGCGCAGGCGGAUUAGCAAGUCAGAGGUGAAAUCUCCCGGCUUAACCGGGAAACUGCCUUUGAAACUGUUAAUCUUGAGUACGGAAGAGAGAAGCGGAAUUCCAGGUGUAGUGGUGAAAUACGUAGAUAUCUGGAAGAGCACCAGUUGCGAAGGCGGCUUCUUGGUCCGUUACUGACGCUCAGGCGCGAAAGCGUGGGGAGCAAACAGG
rnacentral:rRNA from 1 species